rnacentral:lncRNA from 13 species
GCAAAAAACAUUCAAAUUAAAGUAUUUUUAAGCAACAUUUUGAGCCCAUGGAUUCCUGCCAUCCUAUAAAAUACAUGACUGCAACAUAAAGUGACCUGAAGUACUCAUCCUGAAACAGAAAUGAGCAUGGGAUACCACUGAAGGAAUAAGUGAUGAAGCCUGCUAAGACAACAACAAAGACUUUGAUGUGAACAGUGCUAUGAGGAACCUCAUGGAGUUUUAUUAAAAGGUCAGCUGUAACCAUCAGGCUGUUCCUUCUCCUGAAGCUUUAUAAAUGUCAUUGAAAAAAAGAUAAAGAGCAAAAACUGUAUGAACAUAUGCAUUUCAUCAGAUGUGUAUAGUGGUUACAGAAAGAAAUCCUACUCUCAAACUUGGGCAAGGGUAGCAGAGAGUUUUUUCUAACUUUUCUUAGAGAUACAUCCUUUUCUCAGAAAACAAAAAUAAUGACAUCGCAGAAUCAGCAUUAAACAUAGCUGACCUUGAAAGUACAGUUAAAGAACUGAAAUUUCUUUCUUCCAAUUUUAAUAUUUCAUGAGCUUUAUACAGAGACCUGGAUGCUCCAAAAAAGAAUCCAGCCAAUGCACUGCAGAUGAACCAAGUCUCAAUGAGCAAGAAGGUAAACUAAGUCUCUGAAGCCACUGCUGAAAGGCUGCAACUUGGCUGUAAAAACUAGCAGAAAUUAUUCUGUCUAGUCCAGCUAUUGUGGUGUUUUGUGCAGCUGUUCAGAGCAUGUAAAAAUAGCUACCAUGCCAUCCUGGUUGUGUUGUACAUCACUUCUGUCGCAUCGGUGUAAUGAACUGAUCAAAGCACCAACUGGUGGAGAGGUUGGGGAUCAAACUGAGUUUUCACUGCGAGAUGGGGAAAAAAAUCACACUUGCUUUGGUGUCCAGAAGAAAGGCAGGUGUCAAGAGGUGCAAUGCUUCAUUUUAAAGUCACACUAGUCACAUGCAGCCUUUUCCCCACUGCACAGAAGUAGGCGAUACACCAGGGCAAGCUUGACAAUUCACCUCCAUGAGUGGAUUUUGUUUGUUCACUCCUACAAGCAAGUUCCAUGUCCCCAGAGAGUCCGCCCUGCUGCAGCUGAAACCC